AGAUGGGCCGCCGGAGAUACUAGACAGCUAGGGAGUGGAAGAGGUGGAUGGUACUCGAUGGGAAGGGGUAAAAUCCUUUGAUCCAUUGAAGACCACCUGUGGCGAAGGCGGUCCACCAGAACAUGUCCGACGGUGAGGGAUGAAAGCUGGGGGAGCAAACCGGAUUAGAUACCCGGGUAGUCCCAGCCGUAAACGAUGCAAACUCAGUGUUGCAUUGGCAUGUAGCCAAUGCAGUGCCGCAGGGAAGCCGUUAAGUUUGCCGCCUGGGAAGUACGUUCGCAAGAAUGAAACUUAAAGGAAUUGGCGGGGGAGCACCACAAGGGGUGAAGCCUGCGGUUCAAUUGGAGUCAACGCCAGGAAUCUUACCCGGGGAGACAGCAGAAUGAAGGUCAAGCUGAAGACUUUACCAGACAAGCUGAGAGGAGCUGCAUGGCCGUCGCCAGCUCGUGCCGUGAGAUGUCCUGUUAAGUCAGGAAACGAGCGAGAUCCCUGCCUUUAGUUGCUAUCAUUAUUCUCAGGAAUAGUGAGGCCAAACUAGAGGGACUGCCAUUGUUAAAAUGGAGGAAGGAAGGGGCU
rnacentral:rRNA from 1 species